rnacentral:rRNA from 1 species
GAUGAACGCUAGCGGCAGGCCUAAUACAUGCAAGUCGAACGGUGUCUUCGGACAUAGUGGCGCACGGGUGCGUAACACGUAUGCAACCUACCUUACAUUGGGGGAUAGCCUUUCGAAGGGGAGAUUAAUACCGCAUAAGACAGUAGCUGGGCAUCCAGCAGCUGUUAAAGAUUUAUCGAUGUAAGCUGGGCAUGCGUCCAAUUAGCUAGUUGGUGAGGUAACGGCUCACCAAGGCAAUGAUUGGUAGGGGAACUGAGAGGUCAAUCCCCCACACUGGCACUGAGAUACGGGCCAGACUCCUACGGGAGGCAGCAGUAGGGAAUAUUGGGCAAUGGACGCAAGUCUGACCCAGCCAUGCCGUGUGCAGGAUGAAGGCGUUAUGCGUUGUAAACUGCUUUUAUACAGGAAGAAACGACUCUUGCGAGAGGCAUUGACGGUACUGUAUGAAUAAGCACCGGCUAACUCCGUGCCAGCAGCCGCGGUAAAAC